GAUGAACGCUGGCGGCGUGCCUAAUACAUGCAAGUCGAGCGAACAGACGAGGAGCUUGCUCCUCUGACGUUAGCGGCGGACGGGUGAGUAACACGUGGAUAACCUACCUAUAAGACUGGGAUAACUUCGGGAAACCGGAGCUAAUACCGGAUAAUAUAUUGAACCGCAUGGUUCAAUAGUGAAAGACGGUUUUGCUGUCACUUAUAGAUGGAUCCGCGCCGCAUUAGCUAGUUGGUAAGGUAACGGCUUACCAAGGCAACGAUGCGUAGCCGACCUGAGAGCGAGAUGGGACACAUUGGACUAGAGACACGGUCCAGACUCCGAAGGGAGGAUGCAGUAGAGAGUCUUACGCAAUGGGCGAGAGGUUGAGGGAGCAACUCGGUGCUAGUCAUGAAGGUAUUCGGAUCCGAAAUGUCUAUUAUUAGGGAAGAACAAAUGGGUAAGUAACUAUGCACGUCUUAACGGUACCUAAUCAGAAUGCCACGGCUAACUACGUG
rnacentral:rRNA from 1 species